ACCAUUGUCUUCAUUUCCACAGAAUCUGCGCAGUUCUGACAUUCAUCAAGAUACAGCUGAGCCGUCUGCAGAGUUUGAGUUUCCUACCUUGAGCUUGUCAGAAAUUCAGAAUGCAUGUGGCAUAAUGGAUGUUCUUACAGAAAUGCUUAGCGCAAUUGAUCCAGAGAAUAAAGAGGGCCUUAGACAAGAGGUUAUUGUUGAUUUGGUGGAACAGCGUUGGGCAUAUAAGCAGAGAGUGGUACACCUUGUUAACUCCACCUCAUAAGGCUUCAAACUUCUUUGCUCCAUAGGCAGUUGACAGAUUGGAACGGUUGGUUUUGGAGCAAGAAAAGCAAUAUCUAUUUGGA